rnacentral:rRNA from 1 species
UACGUAGGGCGCAAGCGUUGUCCGGAAUUAUUGGGCGUAAAGAGCUCGUAGGCGGUUUGUCGCGUCUGCUGUGAAAACCUGAGGCUCAACCUCGGGCUUGCAGUGGGUACGGGCAGACUAGAGUGCGGUAGGGGUGACUGGAAUUCCUGGUGUAGCGGUGGAAUGCGCAGAUAUCAGGAGGAACACCGAUGGCGAAGGCAGGUCACUGGGCCGCAACUGACGCUGAGGAGCGAAAGCGUGGGGGGCGAACAGG